GAUGAAGAACGUAGCGAAAUGCGAUACGUAAUGUGAAUUGCAGAAUCCAGUGAAUCAUCGAAUCUUUGAACGCACAUUGCGCCCCUUGGUAUCCCGAGGGGCAUGCCUGUUCGAGCGUCAUUUCACCACUCAAGCCUGGCUUGGUGUUGGGCGACGUCCUCUUUGGGGACGCGCCUCGAAACGCUCGGCGGCGUGGCACCGGCUUUAAGCGUAGCAGAAUCUUUCGCUUUGGAAGUCGGGGCCCCGUCUGCCGGAAGACCUGCUCGCAAGGUUGACCUCGGAUCAGGCAGGGAUACCCGCUGAACUUAAGCAUAUCAAUAAGCGGAGGA
rnacentral:misc_RNA from 1 species